GCCUCCCUCAACUUUAAAUGCGUUGCCUGCGGGAAAGAAACUCUGCAAGACGGAACUUCGAGAGGUCAGAGUGAGUUGCGGCUCGGCUGAGUAUGGUAAAGUGGUAACGCCUUUGGCCUUUGGGAAAACCGCCUGCGGGACGAGAUUAAAUCGAAGUCUGAAAAGAGACGCGUUGCAGCUCAGCUCGUUCGAAAAGAAAUUGGUGAGGAUAUAUAGCCAAUAGAAGAAAGCACCCUUGUCUUCCAAAGAGGAUAAAGUCAGCAGGAUGGCUCAGCAGGGAACUACUCUCCAGGGCUGCAAUAAUGAACUUGUGAAGUAUAUGGAAGAGUUGUGCAUGCAAAAGACAGAAGUAGACGAACAAAUUGCAAAAUUGAUAGCAGACAAAACUAAGAUUCAAAAUGAAAUUGAGAUGUUAACCAUACAACUGGAAAGUAUAAGUGAAAGUUUACUUUGGAAAAAUGCAAUUCAAAAGAAGCUUGAUACCAUUCUUGCUGAAGGAAUAUUCGCAUAUGACAAGAUUUUGGACAGUUCUAAAAUAUUGUUAGAUGUCUUGAAAAAAGAGAUAGAGAAUUUAGACAAACUGAUAGCAUUGAAAAAGAUAUUCAGUGAAUCAAUGACAUCUUCCGAAUCUGACUAAGCCAAUGUUAACACUGGGAAACGAAUGGGUUAAGAAAUGCCAUCUUUUAUUUUUCUAUUAUUUGCUUUAUUAAAUUAUCUUUAUUAAUGGGUAAGGAAAGUAGUUUUCAAAUAAUAUGUAGAAAUAAAGCAUCUGAAAACUCACUAAGGACAAGCUAUUGAAAAUGAAAGGUUACUCAAGUUCUAGAAUUAUU